rnacentral:pre_miRNA from 1 species
AGUAGAAUUACUGGGCCAUAUGGUAAUUUUAUCUUUAGCAUUUUAAGAAGCUGCCAAAUUGUUUUCCAAAGUGGAUGCACCAUUUUAUAUUCCCAUCAGUAGA